rnacentral:rRNA from 2 species
GCGGAGGAAAAGAAACUAACAAGGAUUCCCCUAGUAACUGCGAGUGAAGCGGGAAAAGCUCAAAUUUAAAAUCUGGUGGCCUUUGGCCAUCC